UCACUUCUCAUUAGGCGGUGA
rnacentral:piRNA from 1 species